AGUUCAGCGAAUUUUGGUGGUCAAGAGAUAUUAAGGCCCUGGUUAAGAGAAAAAAGGAGGUGUACAGCAGGUAUAAGCAGCGAUUGUAGUCCCAGGCGACUGAAACUUUCCUCGUAGUCUAAGCCCUCUCAUCUCUGGAAUCAACCUGGUGAACCUCCUCUGCACUGCCUUCAAAGUCAGUAUAUCAUUCCUCGAGUAAGGAGACCAGACCUACAUGAAGUACUCCAGGACCCUGGGAUGCAUUCCAUCAGGACCAGGGGACUUAUUUAUCCUCAGACCCACAAGUUUGCUCAGCUG